GCCGGGCCCAGUGGCGCACGCCUGUAAUCCCAGAGGCUCUGGAGGCUGAGGCAGGAGAAUCGCGAGUUCAAAGCCAGCCCUAGCAAAAGUGAAGUGCUAAGCAACUCAGUGAGACCCUGUCUCUA
rnacentral:sRNA from 1 species